UAAACGCCUAUAUUCUAGUAGUGAUAUCAACAAUUCACCAUUUAAGUGUUUGAUUUUAUUUUUACUGAUGGAAUUAAGGAAUUGAAACCUUAGUUGGUGAUGAUAUGUACUUUAACAUUAAGAACUUGUACGUUAGCUUGUUGAUAUGAUUAUGAGAUCAAAUCCUUCUGAUCUAGGUUAGUUAAGGACGCGAUUUGGUUCAAGAUUAUAUUCAACAUGUGAUUCCAUGUGUCUUUUAUAUAUUUGUGAAAGGAAUUGAUGAUUUGAACGGUUAUUCACCAUUAGAAUGGAAUAAUUAGGUUUUUAAAUCAAACUUAUUUCAAGAAUGAAGUGGAGAAUCAAUUGGGCAGGAAAAUCAAGAUGCUUCGAUCCGAUCGUGGAGGAGAGUACCUAAGUCUUGAAUUCCACAAGGAGUGUGGAAUAGUUUCACAAUUGACGCCUCCUAGGACACCGCAGUUGAAUGGUGUGGCAGAAAGGCGUAAUCGAACCUUAUUAGAUAUGGUUCGCUCUAUGAUGAGUCGUGCUUCGCUACCAAUCUCUUUUUGGGGGUAUUCCUUAGAGACUGCCGCCCAUAUCCUUAACCGAGUCCUUACUAAGAAGGUUGCCAAAACACCUCACGAGAUGUGGACAGAGAAAGCUCCCUCGUUGGCACAUAUCAAGGUUUGGGGUUGCGAGGCUUUCGUAAGACGAGAUACUCACGACAAGCUUGAACCUCGAAGUGAGCGAUGUAUUUUCAUCGGCUACCCGCAGACAUCCUUUGGAUAUCUCUUCUAUAGACCGAAGGACAAUGUUGUCUUCGUUGCGAGGAGAGGAGUUUUCCGAGAGCGAGAACUCAUAAGCCAAGGAGACAGUGGGAGGCAAAUCGAACUUGAAGAGAUUCAAGAAUCGAUAGAUGAAGGAACCUCUACCGCUGGCGUUCAACCCGAGGAGGAAACUCCGGUUGAACCGAUUGACGAAUCCUUACCUCUUAGACGUUCCGAUAGAGUUAGAGUUCAUCCCCAGUUUUAUGGCUUUCAUAUUACUACCGAAGGGGACACGUAUAUUAGUGAUGGUACACUAAUAAAUCUUGAUGAACCUAAUAGCUAUAAGGAAGCCAUGGCAGGCCCGGAGUCUGCAAAAUGGAAAGAGGCAAUGGAUAGCGAGAUCCAAUCCAUGUAUGAUAACCAAGUUUGGAAUUUGGUUGAUUAUGUGCCCGGACGUAAGACCGUUGGGUGCAAAUGGAUCUUCAAGAAGAAGACCGACGUGGAUGGAAACGUACACACAUAUAAAGCGCGAUUGGUUGCGAAGGGCUUUACUCAAACUCCCGGAGUUGACUAUGAUGAGACCUUCUCACCAGUUGCGAAGAUUAAAUCUAUUAGAGUGAUGCUAGCAAUUGCCGCAUUUCAUGAUUAUGAGAUUUGGCAAAUGGAUGUCAAGACCGCUUUCCUUAACGGAAAGUUGGCUGAGGAUGUUUACAUGGCUCAGCCAGAGGGGUUUGUGGAUCCGAAGCAUCCGAAUAGAGUGUGUAAGCUUGAGAAGUCCAUUUAUGGACUUAAGCAAGCGUCUCGCAGAUGGAAUCUUUGCUUCGAUGAGAAAGUCAAAGAGUUUGGAUUUGUACGAAGCGAAGACGAAUCUUGUGUAUAUGUCAAAGCCAGUGGGAGUAUAGUAAGCUUCCUCGUUCUAUAUGUCGAUGACAUAUUACUCAUAGGAAACGACAUCCCGACUCUGCAGGAGGUUAAGUCCUGGCUCGGGAAGUGCUUCGCUAUGAAGGACCUCGGAGAGGCUUCUUACAUUUUGGGAAUAAGGAUAGUAAGAGAAAGAAGUAAGAGACUAAUUGGACUUAGUCAGAAUACUUACUUAGAGAAGGUACUAAAACGUUUUAGUAUGGAAAACUCAAAGAAGGGAGAACUACCGAUACAAAGUAAUGCCAAAUUGAGUAAGACUCAAAGUCCGAGUACCGAAGCUGAGAUAGCAGAAAUGAGCCGAGUACCAUACGCUUCCGCAGUUGGCUCAAUCAUGUACGCUAUGACUUGUACUCGCCCUGAUGUAGCCUUCGCUUUGAGCAUGGUUAGCAGAUAUCAAGGGAAUCCUGGCAAAGCACAUUGGAUUGCGGUGAAGAAUAUCCUUAAGUACCUUCGGAGGACGAAGGAAUGGUUCUUAGUCCUCGGAGGGAGUGAUGACUUGAAGGUGCGAGGGUAUAGUGACGCCAGUUUUCAGACCGACAGGGACAACUACCGUUCGCAGUCGGGCUGGGUCUUUACCCUAAAUGGAGGAGCAGUGACAUGGAAGAGUUCCAAGCAGGAAACCGUAGCUGAUUCAACGUGCGAAUCAGAGUACAUUGCAGCGAGCGAAGCGUCGAAGGAGGCAAUAUGGCUAAAGAACUUCAUCGGUGAUCUUGGAGUCGUACCUGCCAUAAAGGAGCCAAUGGAGAUUUUCUGUGAUAACGAAGGUGCGGUUGCCUUAACCAAGGAACCGAGGGAUCAUGGUAGAUCAAGACAUAUCGACAGAAAGUAUCACUUCAUUAGACAUCGUGUAGAAGAAGGACAACUCGUAGUGAAGAGGAUAUCAUCAGAAGAUAACCCAGCAGAUCCGCUUACGAAGGGACUGAGUAGGGUUAAGCACUUGCAGCAUGCUAGGAGUAUUGGGCUGAAGGAUGAUAUUAGCAUAGAUUAGAUAGUAUUAGAAACGUGUAAUAGAUAAAUGUAAUUGACAUUUGAUGAUUAAAUAAAGGAGUUUUAUUUAUGAGUAAUGUUACUAUCUUAUGUUAAUUGUUUAGCUAUUGUUUCACUUUGCAUGUUUUGACUUCCAGAAUAAUUGAGUUUAUUAGGAAUAAUCGAAUUAUUCAAAUGGUCCACAAUCGUUCAUAUGUUGGGAGUAGAUAUGAAAGAAGAUUGUCAUGAAUUGGUGUGUAGAAUGUCUAAAUGGUGUUAGACAUAGCAAAGGAUUGCUGCAACGUUCAUGAGUGCUUAUGAACUAGUUUUGAGCAUUGGAAUAAACCCGCGCUUGCUGGAAUCACCUUAUGGAAUACGAUAUAAAAGGUGAUCGCAAGACGAUAAUAUCAUAUAGUCUUAAAACCUAGAUAUAUGGUUUAUUAUUUGUUAAUUGAUUGUACAUUGAUAAUACGAAAACGCAUCAGUAACUUGGUGUUAUAAAACGUAUUGUUGUGUAUAGUUGGUUAAUGAAUAAGUAAAUGCAUAUAAGUCGAAGUUUAUCUGUAACUUUUAUCUAAGAAGGUAAAAGCGAUAUCUCGGCCGCUCGAUGAUUUGAUUUGACUUAUGUGCCGGGCCCGGUCAGAACUGAAUUGAUGUGUUCGAUUAAGUUCUAUGUCAAAUAAAUCAGAGAUCGAGAAACCUAAAUGCUUGACUAACCAUUCCAUAGGAUUGUCAGCAUGAUAUCUAACAGAGGACUGUACGUUCCCUUAUCUAAAGGACAAGAUUGAUUAGAUCAGAGUUGACAGCGUCUUUGAGAGCUACGAUUGCAAACCGAAUUGUACUUGUAUAGUUACUAGACUUAUCCAAGUGGGAGACUGUUGGAAUAGUGUCUAAGGCUGUAACUAUAUCCGGUUGUGCAUGGUCCUUUUGGGUUGCCUUCACCAUAGCAACUUGAUAGGAUGAUUUAUUAAGAGAGAAUAAAUAUUAUUAAUAUAUUAUGGGAAUAAUAUAAUGAAUAAUAUAUUUGUUAUUUGAUUAAUAUAAGUCAUAGAAUUAAUUAGAAUUAAUUUGGUGACUUAAAGAGAUUAAUUAAAUAAAGGGGUAUAAACUGUCAAUUGUUUGAUAGUUAAGCUUUAAACUGUAAAUCCAUUUGGAUAUACUAUGGACGAAUUCUAAGAGGAUUAGGAUAGCUAAAAUCGUCCAUUAGAGUUAUCUAGGAAUGGAUUUGGAUAGCCUUAAGAGAAGAUUAUCUGAUAGGGACUUAUCUGUAAUCCUUAAGGAGUCUACAAGUAUAAAUAGACCCCAUGGCUGAUGGAAUUCGACACUUGACCUAAAGUAAGGAACCUCUGGUCGAAAUUCCUCCCCUCUCCUCUCUCCCAAAUCAUCCUCCUUGCUUUGGUGUUUGUAAGCCAUUAGAGGAGUGACAUUUGUGACUCUAGAAGCUCCAAGACCUCAAGAUCAACAAGGAACUCAAAGGUAUGAUUCUAGAUCUGUUUUAAUGUUCUUGUUUAACCUAAUUAGUAAUUAGAAGUCUUGGAUUCAAAGCAUGUUUAUUAGAAAGCCUAGAUCCAAGCAUUAGGGUUUUGCAUGCGCACAUAGGAAAGUUCUUAUGGCUAAAACCCAUCAGUGGUAUCAGAGCCUAGCUUGGUUUUCUGUAAAUUGUUGCUUGAUUAACUGAAACAAACCUGCAAAAUUCGAAUUUUUGGUUUCUGAGUCAUGGACUCGGCGAGUCUCAAAGUGGACUCGGCGAGUAGGCCUGACUCGGCGAGUCCAUUUGUGCACUCGGCGAGUCCAGGCGUCAGGAAUGGCCAGAUUCGGGAUUUCUUUGUGUUUAUCUUAUCUUAACUUACCAUAAACUAAUUAGAUCAACAUUAAUUCGUUUUUCUGAUAAAUAUAACUAUUAUCUUGAUCUAGUUAAAGGUAAUUAUCAACUAAUUAAAUAUUUAAUUUCCUUAUAUGAUAAUUAAUUAAUUAUUUUGAUUAUUUUGGUAAUUAUCUUUAAAAGAAAUCUUGAAUAAAUCAAAUAUAGAUAAUUAGGAUAUUAAUUGUUAAUUGGAAUUAUUUGUUAUUUGAUCCUCCAUGUUUUAAAUGUUUAAAACCUACCCUCAUGUUUUGAAAUUUACUUUUGUGAUUAAAAGUUUUAAUUUAGACAACUUAAAUUUCAAACCCUAGAUUUUAAAAGUUUUAAAAUACAACCCUAUACUAAUAUGAUAUUACUAGAAUAAUAUAUAUAUGUAUAACUAAAUGCUAGUCUUACCGUUAGUAGGCCUCAUUCACGAAGCCGAUCUAUAAGGUGGGUAUAAGGUUGCGGCCUAUAAAAUGGCGCUUAAUGGGUGUACACUCACACCCACCGCUUGCUUGAUUGGUGGAGGGUCGUUAGCCGAACGGGUAGGAUAGGGCAACCUCAUCCUCUCAUUAAAAGUAUAAUAAGAAAUAUAAAGUAACUACACAUUUUUUUAAAAUUUCCCAAUCCUAGUUACUUUAGGAAAAGUGAAUUGAUGCAAUCCCAUGAAAUUACACUUUGCACCUUGCUAAGAUGUUAGUGGAGCGUGUGUGGUUUACCGGCACACUAAUUGGUUCUAAGCGAAGGUGGCAAAGGGUGAUUCAUUGUUUAUCAUAGUUCGAUGGAGCGUGUGUGGUUUACCGGCACAUCGAAUAGGUGAUUGUUACAAUGAAGGCACCAUGUGAAUUUGCAUGGUAAUUCACACCCGCUUUGUGAUCCUCGGCAUCCCAGUCACAAACAAGAGGGGCAUAUCGAGAUUUAAACAUGCCAUUGAAUAGUUUCAAUGAAUCUCAUCCGAACCUAGGAAUUCUCAAAAACACUUAGGACUAAUAGUUUAAGUUUUGUGAUGGAGAAUUAGUGAAUCGUCAUUCACUUACCUUCAAUUUAUUUGCAUGUUAGAUUACGGCAUCCCUUUUCUAGUAUGUAAAUGUUAUUGUUGGAUCCUAGCCCUAAUUUUCUUAUUGGGUGAUAAUUAGGGAUUCUUAUUCUAAUCUAUCUUUGUCCUUUUCUAAUUGUAGAUGUCGAACGCAAACAACGCUGCUGCUAGUUCUUUCACGUUGAUGAGCCUUUGCCAAAAGGUCACCUUCGAUGGAACGAACUUUAGCGAAUGGAUAAGAUACAUUCGCACCAUUGCUCGCUAUGAGGAUAAGGAGUAUGUCCUCGAUGAGAAGCUCGAGAAAAUCAACCCCGAAAUUGCUACUCCCGCCGAAAUCACCGCCUUUGAAACUCAUGAGCGAGAUGCAACGAAGGUACAUUGCAUCAUGAUCGCCACCAUGAACUCCGAAUUCCAAAAGUCCUACGAGGACAUGUACCCGUACGAGAUGCAUCAAGACUUAUUGGAGAGGUACCACCAAAACGCGAGACAAGAGAGGUACGAGAUUUUCACUAACAUGAUUUCCGCGAAGAUGGGUCAUGGAGAAUCUCUUACCGUGCACUUGCAAAAGAUGCAAAGGUAUGUUGACCGCCUCCGCAAGUUAAAUGUUGACUUCGGUGAAGACUUGGCGAUCGACAUGGUGCUUCACUCUUUGCCUCCGAUGUACAACCAAUUUAGGAUGACCUACCACAUGAACAAAGAAGAGGUCACCCUAAGCAAGCUCCAAGGUCUCUUGAGGGUUGCUGAGAGCAACUUCAAAGACAAGUCUGUUGCACCUACUCCCAAUCCGCCCGCUGCUCCUGUCUUGGCUAUUGGACAAGGGAAGGGAAAGAAGAGGAAAGCUUCAUCGAAGAACUAUCGCAAGGUGAAAGCCCGAGAUGGUGCCUCUUCUAGUGGGACCAAAGUUGAUCCCGCCAAGCCCUGCUCUAACCCGAAGGAGGCAGAGUGCCACCACUGCCACAAGAUAGGACAUUGGAAGAGAAGCUGCCCGGAUUACCUGCAAGCAAUCAAAGAAGGAAAGAUCAAGCCAUCUUUCGCAGGUAUAUAUACAAUCAAAUCUAACGAUUCUAAUCAUGCUAUUUCUUGGGUUCUUGAUACCGGUUGUGGUUAUCACAUUUGUUCUAAUGUGCAGGGACUAAGAAGAAGUAGGGAUGUGGAGCAAGGAAGGAUCAAUCUAAUCAUGGGGAACAGAAGAUCGUCGCCUGUGACCAAGAUUGGAGUGUAUUCCUUAGUGCUUAGGAAUAGUUUAGUUUUAGAUUUGAACAAUUGUUGCUAUUCGCCAGAAAUGGCAAGAAACAUCAUUUCAUUUCAUGGUUUAUAUAGACAAGGAUUUAGAUUUUCUUUUAAUAAUGAGAAUGGUUCUAUUUUGGCUUAUCUAAAUGGUGUCUUUUACUUUGAAGCUAUACCAUGUAAUGGAAUAUAUGAAACCGUUAUGAUUGUUGAUAACUUAGGAAAUGAUGUUUUGAAUAUUGAUUCUUCCACUAGUAUGGAUAAAGCAUCCUUGUGGCAUUGUCGUCUUGGACAUGUCAACAAGAAACGCAUAGCCCAACUCCAAAAGGAUGGAGUGUUGGAGUCAUUCGACCUUAGGGAAGAUGACACAUGCGAGUCUUGUUUGCUUGGAAAGAUGACUAAGUCACCCUUCACGAGUACAUGUGAAAGGGGCGAGGGUCUAUUGGACCUAAUACAUACCGAUGUAUGUGGACCGUUUAGAUCAACCACGAAGGAUGGGAACCGCUUCUAUGUGACUUUUACCGAUGACUAUAGUAGAUAUGGGUAUAUCUACUUAAUCAAGCAAAAGUCAGACACCUUUGAAAAGUUCAAAGAGUUCAAGAAUGAAGUGGAGAAUCAAUUGGGCAGGAAAAUCAAGAUGCUUCGAUCCGAUCGAGGAGGAGAGUACCUAAGUCUUGAAUUCCACGAUUAUCUCAAGGAGUGUGGAAUAGUUUCGCAAUUGACGCCUCCUAGGACACCGCAGUUGAAUGGUGUGGCAGAAAGGCGUAAUCGAACCUUAUUGGAUAUGGUUCGCUCUAUGAUGAGUCGUGCUUCACUACCUAUCUCUUUUUGGGGGUAUGCCUUAGAGACUGCCGCCCAUAUCCUUAACCGAGUCCCUACUAAGAAGGUUGCCAAAACACCUCACGAGAUGUGGACAGGGAAAGCUCCCUCGUUGGCACAUAUCAAGGUUUGGGGUUGCGAGGCUUUCGUAAGACGAGAUACUCACGACAAGCUUGAACCUCGAAGUGAGCGAUGUAUUUUCAUCGGCUACCCGCAGACAUCCUUUGGAUAUCUCUUCUAUAGACCGAAGGACAAUGUUGUCUUCGUUGCGAGGAGAGGAGUUUUCCGAGAGCGAGAACUCAUAAGCCAAGGAGACAGUGGGAGGCAAAUCGAGCUUGAAGAGAUUCAAGAGUCGAUAGAUGAAGGAACCUCUACCGCUGGCACUCAACCCGAGGAGGAAACUCCGGUUGAACCGAUUGACGAAUCCUUACCUCUUAGACGUUCCGAUAGAGUUAGAGUUCAACCCCAGUUUUAUGGUUUUCAUAUUACUACCGAAGGGGACACGUAUAUUAGUGAUGGUACACUAAUAAAUCUUGAUGAACCUAAUAGCUAUAAGGAAGCCAUGGCAGGCCCGGAGUCUGCAAAAUGGAAAGAGGCAAUGGAUAGCGAGAUCCAAUCCAUGUAUGAUAACCAAGUUUGGAAUUUGGUUGAUUAUGUGCCCGGACGUAAGACCGUUGGGUGCAAAUGGAUCUUCAAGAAGAAGACCGACGUGGAUGGAAACGUACACACAUAUAAAGCGCGAUUGGUUGCGAAGGGCUUUACUCAAACUCCCGGAGUUG
rnacentral:lncRNA from 1 species